rnacentral:lncRNA from 1 species
GUCCUCCAGUGGUCGCAGGAGCCAACGGGCACCGUGGUGCUCCAAGGUCCCCGAGGGAGGAGCUCGGGGUGCGACAGAGGGUGGGGAUUCUGGUGGCCGCCCUAGCCCACCACCUUUGCUCCACUCUCUUUGUCACCAAGUCCACCCCAGCUCCAGGCUGGAAUCCCCCUGGGGACGCCACCGCGUUAGGUAAUGACCCCUCGACAGCUGCGCUCCCCGCCCCGCGCCGCCCUCAGGAGGCAGGUUCGCACCUGCUGGGCCGCUUCUCGUCAAUUAGGCCUUGGCAGCGCGUCCCCGCGCCCCUCCCGCGCCGCCCGGUCCCCGCGCUCGCAGAUGGCAGCUCGGGCGCAGCUGCCUGCGGGGCUCGCGGGGCCACAGUGGGCAGGGUCCGCAGGUUGGGGGGCCGGCACACUGCGCCGGGCAGAUGGUGUCGCCGGCGGCAGCAGGCGCCCGAGGCUCCUCCAGGGACUGGGGGCGGGUGGAGAGCAGGGUCCCCUCACCGCGAGGCCAUGGGAAGGGGACACCGAGAAAGUGGCACCGGGCGGCGGGACCACGCCCCGCCCGCAGCCUCCACCCCGCGGGCCGCGCGCCCCUGAAGAGGGGCCUCCGCCCUGCAGAAAGCGGGAGUCCCUUGGGGCAGUAGCUCGGUGACCGGGGAUAGGGGAUUGCGCUUCCUCUGCAGGACGCCGACACCAGCCAUAAAAAUGCACCAAAGAAAAGCAGGUCCUUGGGGUCCUACUCUGGGAUCCGAGUUUGAAGUCAGGAUGCAUCGCUUUCAAGCUUUGAGAGUUUGGUCCACUUUUUCAGCUACAGAAUUUACAAAUAAUAGCCCUUGCAAGGGUCCAGUGAGCCGGAAAUUGCCUAGCCUAAGACAGCCAGACCGUGGCCGUAGUUUGCAUUUUUCUGUUUUCUUAUUGUAAAUGUCAUACCUAUUUGCCAUUAAGAACUCAUACUUUGCCAACUUAGAUUAAAACCUAUUGAGCCUUAUAAUUUCGCUUCCACCUUGGAUAACAGUUUGAUGAUGUUUUGCCCCAUGAUUUUAAAAACCUGUUUCCUUGCUGUGUGUCCCCAGGAAAUUACUUAACUUUCUUUGGAUCCCGGUUUCCUUAUCUGUCACCUGGCAGGAACGUUUUGAGGUAAACUGAAAUAGUGCACACAGAACACUUCAAAGAGUGCAAAUAGGAAUAUCAGCUUUACUGCAGAUUAGUGUUUUGUAAUAUUUUAAAAGAUAUUUCUGAGCUGUUUUUCUGUGCUAGAGAAGUCAAAGCAAUCAUUCUUUUCCACAGCUAUAGAAUAUGCUGCCCCCUGUCAUCACCUGUUCUAGGAGUCCUCUUCUGAGGAGUUUUGGGGUGGGUUCCUCCGGCUGUAAUAAACAGCUCCAACCCCUGGUGGGAGUCACUGUAGCAUCAGGUCCUAAGGGAGAUAUUUGCUAGGUAAAGCUCCCGGUGGUUUGGCUCAAUCAGGGCCAGAGGCACUAAACUCAAUGACGCCAAGACAUUUCAGGAGUCAAGAUAGACCAUAUUUUAAUACAGUGGCUUUUAUAAUCAGAAUUAUUCUAAAAACACCCAUGAAGAGCAAAAUAUCACGAUUUUAAAGACAGAUCUAGCCAGGCAACUCGGGAGGCUGAGGUGGCAGGAUCACAAGUUUGAGGCCACCCUCAGCAACUUAGUGAGACCCUGUCUCAAAAUAAAAAAAAAUAAAAUAAAAUAAAAAGGUCUGGGGAUAGCUCAGUGGUAAAGUACCCCUGGAUUCAAUCCCCAGUAACAAAAAAGAAAUGAAAGACAAAUAAAUAAAUAAAAUAAUAACAAAGACAGGAUCUAACAGUGCCAUGCUGUGACUUCACUAGAGCCUGUGGCCAAAGGAAAGGGGGACUCCGCAUACAUAUCUUUAUGUAAUUCCCCCCCAAACAUUAAAGUAGUUGGAAAAUAUAUUGAAAAGUUGAAAAUAAGUGCAUUAAAACUCACAGUAUCAUUUUAUUUUUAAAUAUUUUAUUGGCAACCCAAACAGAAUCUAUGUCAACCUUUUUAUUUGCUGGCUUUAAUGAAAGCAAAUUCAUUGCUAAUAAUUUAAAAAUCUCCUUCUGAAAAGAAAUUAGCUGGUGCAAAAAAACAUGAGAUAAAAGCACAUUUAUGUUAGGGAUGCACAUUUUUUCUUUGGCACCAGGUACUGUCAAUCUGCAUUUCUAAGGGUCACACCACUCUUUUUUUAGUACCUGCCUUUCAGGCAACUUCUGGGAUUAAGCUGCUUUCAGCAGAGAGUCAUUGUCUGCACAUUCGGCUCUUUGGUGAGGAGCCUGGUCCGGGGCCUACCUGGGCUGGCUUUUUGGUCCGCUCACUUGUGAGAAACGCCCAGACACCCCGGGAAGCCGGCUGGCUCAGGUUCCCCAGGCUCUGGGAGCGGCCUUAUCUCAGAUCAGCAGCGCCUCAUUCUCAGGAAAGCCUUUUAACUCUGGGGUAGACAAGCUCAAAAGUCUAGAGCUGCCCUGGGGGCACUGGGGCACUGGGAGCAGCUCCUGGGUGGACCAGAUGAGGGACACUGGCUGCCCAGAGCUCCUUGGUGCUCCCUUACCUGCGGCCAGCCAUGCCACGCGGCUCCCUUCCUGCCUUUCUUUGCCCCCCCUCAGUGGAUUGAUUCCCUGAGCCACUGCACUGAGCAGUCUGGAGUCAAACCCUGGGACCAAAGCGAAUUAGUCACAGUCUCUGGAGCUCAGCGGGGCAGACAGAGGGGGAUAAACCAAGAAUUUCCAAGAUCUCCUCAUGUCUGUCGUUAUCUCAGGACCGCCUCCCUGGAGACCUGGGAGGGCUGGGGACGAUGAUACGAUGAUACUGGCAACAUCGAUGGAUGGCCCUGACAAUAGCACUGAUCAAGGGGUUGUCUACAUUAACCAGGCAGUCCUCCUCCGGAUCCCGUGAGGUGCUAUUGAAGCUCCAUUUUACAGGUGAAACCCAGGGACAGAGGACUCACUCACUUGCCCAAGGGCCUGCGAUGGUGAGCAGCAAUGUCGGGAUAAUAUCCGGGGGUCCAGCUCUGGAAUCUGUGCUCUUGCUGUGACACUGUGGCCUCAGGUCCCUCCCUCCGUCUUCUGCAUCGUGGAAAAUGGUAUAAACCAAAAAGGAAAAUACAAUGGAAAUCCAAGAAUCCAGGCACGUGGCUUACCCCUCUUACCUGGUUCUUUCCACUCUUGACUUGUGGCCACUCAGAUAUCAGAGACCCCGGACCCUGGCUUCCCAGAGGCUGUCCCUAGAGAAGGACCUUCCACCUGUGGAUCAGUUGAGAGAUGGAGGUGAUGAUCCAGGGAGAAGUGACAAAACAGGUGACAGAGGACAUGACUGGGAUGCAUUCUGCCCCGGGACGAGGGAGCAGGGUGUCACUCACUGAUUGGGAUCUGCUGGGGGUGCCCCUUGCUGCUCUUGCUCCUCCCCCUCUCCUUGUGGAGAAGAGAAGAAGCGAGAGAGCCCCCCCCCCCCUGCACAGCGCCAGGUGGGCAAUGGGCUUGGGGCGCCUGGGGCCGCCCACCUGUGCUCAGAGGGAGCCGGCUGCAGGGAGGGGAGUGAGGCCUUCCCCUCCACCUCCACCUGGGGCAGGCUGUGGGCUUCUGGGGGCCUGGACCCAGCGGCACUGGCCCAUCCUGAGUGUUGGGCGGGGAAAGGGGCCUGGGGUGGAGGAGGACAGGUGUCCGCAGUGAGCAUUUUUGGCAGGAGGAAGGCUGUGCAAGGGGAUGGAGGAGUGGAGGCUACUCCCAAGAGCCUCCUCAUUCCAACCAGAUGUGAUGGCAGGCAUUUAAUGAGCACCUACUGUUUGCCUGGCACAACACUUAGUGAUUUUCUUGUGUGAUUUCACUGCAAAACUUGCUCUCGGAUCCCCAUAUUUGAAUAAGGAAGGGGAUGCUCAGGGUACUGGGAGCCAUUAGCCAAGUAGGUAUGACAAUUCCCUUGCCAGCAUACCCCAUGUUGCAGUGACAUUGAAUGUAGGUGACCUUGCUCAAGGACCAGGGUGGAUUAGGGUGUUCCCGGUUUAAGAUAAUCGUGUUUAGGGCGUUCCCAGUUUAGGUUCCAGGUUUAAGAUUAUUCCUGCUGGGAGUAGGGCGUAUCCUGCUGCCUGAGUUCCCCUUGAGUUCUCACGGGAUUCAGAGUAUAUUUUGGGAGACAGAAGCCCAGUGGAUGGGAUUUGGGCAGAGAAUGUGAUUUGGGCAGAGAACGUGGAUUUCCCCAGAACGUGAUUGUAGACGGCUGGUGUGAGUUCGGGAAUAAAGAGUUGCUGUUUGAAUCUACAAGCUGUGUGGUGGCUCGUGAUUGUGUGCCCAGCCAGACUGCGGCAUCAGGGAAAUGAGAACUCUGCCUAAAACCACAGACACAUGGUGGAGUCGGGUUAGAACCAGGUCCGUCUCAUUUGCCAGACCCAAUCACUUUCACCUCACGUUCUUUCUCUGGAUCUUCCUGCGUCUCUGAGGUUCACGAUUCCUAUCAAUCUGGACCAUCAGGGCAACA